UAAAGCCUGUUUUCCACUUCAAUCGUAACGUACCGUAGCAUUUUCUUUUGUGUCCAAGUCAUUAGUUCCAUACUACCGCUCUGGAAACUAAAGAAAUACACUACGUUUCGGUACGAUUGAAGUGGAAAACUGGCUUAAGGGACCAUCAACCAAUCAGAUGCGUUUCAUGCGUACUAAGUCAGUGAGAGGUAGUGGAAAGCUGCGGAUUGAUAG